rnacentral:pre_miRNA from 1 species
AACCUGAUGGGCUUUCUCUUCCCCGUUCUUCCUGGAGUCGGGAAAAGCUGGGUUGAGAGGGCAAUUAAAAAAAAAA